AUGGGAGCAGUCAUUCGAGACGACAGAGGUUAUUUUAUUGUUUCUGGGAACAAACUAAUAGAGUCAUGUUAUGAUCCUCUUUCUUCAGAGGCAUUGGCUCUUAAAUUUGGUUUACAACUCUCUUCUUCGGCAGGGUGUAACAGGCUUGUCGUUAAUUCCGACAGCCUAGAAUUAAUGGAGAUUAUGACCAAGGACGGUCAGUAUGUGGGGAAUGCAGCAACCAUGAUUGAUGAUUGUUACCACUUGGCAUGUGAGUUUAGUUCAAUUCGGUUUGAGUUCUGUCCUAGAGAAGCAAACGCUGUUGCUCAUGAAUUAGCUAGUGUAGCUAGAUCUAAAUUCUGCAGUGAGUGGAUUGAAAUGGCUCCUAAUGAGCUUCUUCCUCUUUUACUUAAAGAUGUAAGUGUUAUCACCAAUGAAUAA
rnacentral:rRNA from 1 species